AGCAGCCGCGGUAAUUCCAGCUCCAAUAGCGUAUAUUAAAGUUGUUGCAGUUAAAAAGCUCGUAGUUGAAUUUCGGGAUCAAUAUAUCGGUCGUGCCUUUGGUACGUACUGGUAUCAUUGAUUUCUCCCUUCUGACGAAUCAUGAUGUCAUUAAUUUGGUGUUAUGAGGAGUUAGGACUGUUACUUUGAAAAAAUUAGAGUGUUUAAAGCAAGCUAACGCUUGAAUACAUUAGCAUGGAAUAAUGAAAUAGGACAUUUGAUCCUAUUUUGUUGGUUUCUAGGAUCGACGUAAUGAUUAAUAGGGAUAGUUGGGGGCAUUAGUAUUCAAUUGUCAGAGGUGAAAUUCUUGGAUUUAUUGAAGACUAACUACUGCGAAAGCAUUUGCCAAGGAUGUUUUCAUUAAUCAAGAACGAAAGUUAGGGGAUCGAAGACGAUCAGAUACCGUCGUAGUCUUAACCAUAAACUAUGCCGACUAGGGAUCGGAUGAUGUUAAUUUUUUAAUGACUCAUUCGGCGCCUUACG
rnacentral:rRNA from 1 species